CAGUAGCCGCGGGAAUACGAAGGGGGCUAGCGUUGUUCAGAAUUACUGGGCGUAAAGCGCACGUAGGCGGAUAUUUAAGUCAGGGGUGAAAUCCCGCAGCUCAACUGCGGAACUGCCUUUGAUACUGGGUAUCUUGAGUAUGGAAGAGGUUAGUGGAAUUGCGAGUGUAGAGGUGAAAUUCGUAGAUAUUCGCAGGAACACCAGUGGCGAAGGCGGCUAACUGGUCCAUAACUGACGCUGAGGUGCGAAAGCGUGGGGAGCAAACAGGAUUAGAUACCCCCGUAGUCCCUGUCUCUUAUAC
rnacentral:rRNA from 1 species